rnacentral:rRNA from 1 species
GCCCGUUAAUGGGUGAUGGCGUGCCUUUUGUAGAAUGAACCGGCGAGUUACGAUUUGAUGCAAGGUUAAGCAGUAAAUGUGGAGCCGUAGCGAAAGCGAGUCUGAAUAGGGCGUUUAGUAUUUGGUCGUAGACCCGAAACCAGGUGAUCUACCCUUGGUCAGGUUGAAGUUCAGGUAACACUGAAUGGAGGACCGAACCGACUUACGUUGAAAAGUGAGCGGAUGAACUGAGGGUAGCGGAGAAAUUCCAAUCGAACCUGGAGAUAGCUGGUUCUCUCCGAAAUAGCUUUAGGGCUAGCCUCAAGUGAUGAUUAUUGGAGGUAGAGCACUGUUUGGA